ensembl:lncRNA
AUCCCAGCCUUCAAGGAUCUUACAUUCCUACUGGGGAGACAACAUAUAUAUAUAUAUAUAUAUAUAUAUAUAUUAGUGAUAGGAACAGACCUAUAAUUUCAUUGGUAUCGCCUAUACCAAACAGGGGUCCCCAAACUUUUUAAACAGGGGGCCAGUUCACUGUCCCUCAGACCAUUGGAGGGCCAGACUAUAAAAACCUAACCUAACCAGGCAGCAAUAUACACAGUGUGGAAUCCCCUCCCCCAGAUCACUGCUCACCAUGCUGAUGUCUUCCAUUGUGCCGCCACAUAAUCUUUUGCACUGGCGCCUCGUUCUAAGGAUCCACGCAAAGGAUUAUGUCACCGGAAGUAGUACUGUACAGGAGCAACACAGUGCUUUGCGGAGCAGCCACCUACAGUGCUCCUCUCAUGGACCACCAGUGAAAGAGAUGUUCGGAGGUGUCAGAAGUGAGGAGACUCUGGAAAUGAGCUGCUGUGAGACCUCGAUGGGGGCCAUUUGGGCGUUCCGUGAAAACUUGAAGUCCAUGAUGCCUCCCAGGAAUUUGACGACUCUGGAAAUCUGCCUCAUUCAAAUCCAAGUCAUUCUGGAGUCAAGACAUCAAACUGUGAGGCCACUGAUUCCUGUCAAAAACAAAGGACCAACAGAGCCAAUGAACAUCAAUUUUCAAAUAAGGCAAGGAGGAAAGGAAGGAAACAAACCCCUAAACCUGGGAGAGAGAAGAAUGCUGAGAGAGAGAGGACCCAGAAUCAGAACCCAUAAAGGAAAGAAAGGAAGGUGAAGGGAUUUUUUUCCAGAACUGUAUCAGUCAAGUUUGAAGCUAGAAAUGAUGAACACAACAGUUGCUAUUGAAAAGUAAUUCUGAAUGAAAGGAACAACUUGAAAGCAAAGCAAAAGAGGAGAACAAGAUUCACUGAUUUGGGCUGAGAUGUCAAGAUCAAUGAGGAGUUUAUCAAGCUCUAUGUACCUCAACUUAGCUUAGGAGUGGGGUUAUAUUGAUCAAGGACCUUUCAUGAACAGUGUCUGGGACAGAAGGAGGACAUCAAGGUACACAGUUCUACUGUUCUGAGUUACUCAGGGCACGUGGAUUUUCCUCACUCAUGUACUUAUUUCUCUAUGUGCUCACUCAUUCUCUCCCCUCACCCCACACACAUAAUGAAUUGGUGGGAGUUUAUGUGUAGAUUUUUAUAUAUUUAAUUUUCCUGCAUUUGCUUUAUAUAUGAGUACUUAUAACAUUUUUUCUGUCAUUUUUUGAGAUAUGGUCAUUAAAAAAAUUCUUACCACAAAUAUCUUAGAAUCAAUAUUGUGUAUUGGUUCUAAGAAGACCAGUAAAGGCUAGGCAAUGGGGAUUGAGUGACUUGGAAUCACACAUCUAGGAAGUAUCUGUUAUCAGAUUUUGAACCCAGGAUCUCUCAUUUCAAGGCCUGGCUCUCAAUCCACUAAGCCACCUUGCUGCCCCCUCAAAUAGAAAUGUUUAAGAGUUCAAAGUGUCAUUAUUAUGAGUGGGUAACUGAUUUUCUUUAAAUAGAAGUAUAUCAAUGAGAGCUCAAGUGUUAAAGUGGUAAAUAGGGAAGAAUAUAUAUCUCCCCUCCACUGGAGGGUCCCUAGAUCCCUGAGAGAAGCUGAGUAUAACCAUGUGGAGGUGGUUCUUCUUUUGAAACCUGCCCAUGGGAAAUCAAGUGAGAGAGAGAACAUGAGAACAUGAGAACAAGUGAGAAAAGUGGAGUUUGACCAUGAUGGGUUUGAGAGAGAAGGAGCUAUCUUUGCAUUGGUCAGAGUGC